rnacentral:rRNA from 1 species
CCUACGGGUGGCAGCAGUGAGGAAUCUUGGUCAAUGGGCUUACGCCUGAACCAGCCAAGUCGCGUGAGGGAAGAAUGCCCUCUGGGUUGUAAACCUCUUUUGUCAGGGAGCAACGCCGGCUACGUGUAGCCGGACUGAGAGUACCUGAAGAAAAAGCAUCGGCUAACUCCGUGCCAGCCGCCGCGGUAAUACGGAGGAUGCGAGCGUUAUCCGGCUUUAUUGGGUUUAAAGGGUGCGUAGGCGGACUGCCAAGUCAGCGGUAAAAUCGCGGGGCUCAACCUCGCUCCGCCGUUGAAACUGGCGGUCUUGAGUGGGCGAGAAGUGUGCGGAAUGCGAGGUGUAGCGGUGAAAUGCAUAGAAAUCACGCAGAACUCCGAUUGCGAAGGCAGCAUACCGGCGCCCAACUGACGCUGAAGCACGAAAGCGUGGGUAGCGAACAGGAUUAGAUACCCUAGUAGUC